UGAGCUUGAUCCUGGCUCAGGACGAACGCUGGCGGCGUGCCUAAUACAUGCAAGUCGAGCGGACUUCUUAAAAGCUUGCUUUUAAGAAGUCAGCGGCGGACGGGUGAGUAACACGUGGGCAACCUGCCUGUAAGACUGGGAUAACUUCGGGAAACCGGAGCUAAUACCGGAUAAUAUAAGGAACCUCCUGGUUCUUUAUUGAAAGAUGGUUUCGGCUAUCACUUACAGAUGGGCCCGCGGCGCAUUAGCUAGUUGGUGAGGUAAUGGCUCACCAAGGCGACGAUGCGUAGCCGACCUGAGAGGGUGAUCGGCCACACUGGGACUGAGACACGGCCCAGACUCCUACGGGAGGCAGCAGUAGGGAAUCUUCCACAAUGGACGAAAGUCUGAUGGAGCAACGCCGCGUGAGCGAUGAAGGCCUUCGGGUCGUAAAGCUCUGUUGUUAGGGAAGAACAAGUGCGAGAGUAACUGCUCGCACCUGACCGGUACCUACCGAAGCACCG
rnacentral:rRNA from 1 species